rnacentral:tRNA from 1 species
GGUGCGGUGGCGAAGAGGCUAACGCCGCGGACUGCAAAUCCGCUAUUCGUGGGUUCAAAUCCCACCCGCACCUCCA